UUUUUUCACAGGGGCUUCCUCCACCCUUUGCUGGCCUCUUGUUCGGGCCCCAGGAGGGCUGACUUCUCUCUUGCGCUUGAUAGAAGGGGACAGCUGUGUCUUUGAUCUGCAUUAAGCAAAGUCAAGGCAAUGUGCCUACAGAAAUGCCCAAAACAUGGCAAGCAGGCAGUAAAUGUCCUGUCAAUGAAUAAAAGGCUUGGAAAACCAAAAUUGCAAGAGACGGAGAAACGGGACUCUACUGAUAUGAAGACACGUCUUUCAUUUAUUGUUUGACAGCAAAAGUAAAUAAACUCAAAUUGAGUCAAAAA